AUUGACGCUGGCGGAAUGCUUUACACAUGCAAGUCGAACGGCAGCACGGGGCAACCUGGUGGCGAGUGGCGAACGGGUGAGUAAUACAUCGGAACGUGCCCAAUCGUGGGGGAUAACGUAGCGAAAGUUACGCUAAUACCGCAUACGAUCUACGGAUGAAAGCGGGGGAUCGCAAGACCUCGCGCGAAUGGAGCGGCCGAUGUCAGAUUAGGUAGUUGGUGGGGUAAAGGCUCACCAAGCCAACGAUCUGUAGCUGGUCUGAGAGGACGACCAGCCACACUGGAACUGAGACACGGUCCAGACUCCUACGGGAGGCAGCAGUGGGGAAUUUUGGACAAUGGGCGCAAGCCUGAUCCAGCCAUUCCGCGUGCAGGAUGAAGGCCUUCGGGUUGUAAACUGCUUUUGUACGGACGAAACGGUCUGCCCUAAUACGGCGGGCUAAUGACGGUACCGUAAGAAUAAGCACCGGCUAACUACGUGCCAGCAGCCGCGGUAAUCAUA
rnacentral:rRNA from 1 species